AAACUUUCCAAUACCUUAACGGGUGAGAAGGGAACUUCGAGUGGCUAUGCUUUGCAUAGUCUUUUCUUCAGUCUAAACAGCUGGAGGAAUAAGUGGUGGGCAAGACUGGUGCCAGCCGCCGCGGUAACACCAGCUCCACAAGUGGCAAUCGUAUUUAUUUGGCCUAAAGCGUCCGUAGCUGGUUAAGUAAAUCUCUUGUGAAAUCUGGCGGCUCAAUCGUCAGGCGUCCAAGAGAUACUGGUAGGCUUGGGACCGGGAGAGGUG
rnacentral:rRNA from 1 species